rnacentral:lncRNA from 1 species
CGGGAGGCUGAGGCAGGAGAACCGCUUGAACCCGGGGGGCAGAGGUUGCAGUGAGCCAAGAUCAUGCCACUGCACUCCAGCCUGGGUGACAGAGCGAGACUGUCUCAAAACAAACAAACAAAUAAAAAACACAGAUAGGGUCUCACUGUGUUGCCCAGGCUGGUCUCGAACUCCUUGGCUCAAGCAAUCCUCCCACCUCAGCCUACCAAAGUGCUGGUAUUAUAGGUAUGAGCCACCGCACCUGGCCUCAACCUCCUUAAACUAUAUUUUUCCUCCUCUCUCCUCUGCCUUCUUCCCAUGAGCACUAGGACUGAAAUUUUCUGUCCUUCUCCAUUUCCCUGAAAUUGUAAUAAAUUGAUGUUGAGAGAAAGAAAAAAGUUGAAUAAGGGAAUAUAUAUAUAUAGGAAGAUAGCUCCUAAAUAUUAUACCCAUUUUAUAAUGCAAAGAGGAAAAACACAAAAUGCAAAAUGCAUAUACACUAUCAACAGAAAUUAUGUAUAUAGAAAGGUCUAAAAAUAUUUAUUUUAUUUAAAAAAAUUUAACUGACACACAAUUGUACAUAUUUAUGGGGUACAAUGUGAUAUUUCAAUACAUGUAUACAUUGUGCAAUGAUCAAAUCAGGGUAAUUAGCAUUCCCAUCAUCUCAAACAUUUAUCUUUUCUUUGUAGUAAAAACAUUCAAAAUCCUCUCUUCUAGCUAUUUUGAAAUAUACAACUACAGUCAUCCUACUGUGCAAUAGGACACCAGAACUUAUCCCACCUACCUAAUUGUAACUUUGUACCCACUGACCAAUCUCUCUCCAUGAUACCCUCCUCCCUCCCCUCCCCAGUCUCUGGUAACUACUGUUCUAUUUUGUAUUUCUAUAAGAUCAGCUUUUUAAAUUCCACGAGUGAGAGCUUGCAGUAUUUGUCUGUGUCUGGCUUAUUUCACUUAAUAUAAUGUCUUCCAGGUUCAUCCAUGUUGUGGCAAAUAACAGGAUUUCAUCCUUUUUAUGACUUAAUAGUAUUCUAUUAUAUAUAUUAUAUAUAAUUAUAUGAUAUAUUAUAUAUUAUAUAUUAUAUAUAAUUAUAUUAUAUAU